GGCGGGGGUGAGGUCCUCCUGCAGUCGAACGCUGAAGCUUGGGUGCUUGCAUCUGGGUGGAUGAGUGGCGAACGGGUGAGUAAUACGUGAGUAACCUGCCCUUGACUCUGGGAUAAGCCUGGGAAACUGGGUCUAAUACUGGAUACUACAUUCUCUCGCAUGGGGGUGUGUGGAAAGGGUUUUACUGGUUUUGGAUGGGCUCACGGCCUAUCAGCUUGUUGGUGGGGUAAUGGCCUACCAAGGCGACGACGGGUAGCCGGCCUGAGAGGGUGACCGGCCACACUGGGACUGAGACACGGCCCAGACUCCUACGGGAGGCAGCAGUGGGGAAUAUUGCACAAUGGGCGAAAGCCUGAUGCAGCGACGCCGCGUGAGGGAUGACGGCCUUCGGGUUGUAAACCUCUUUCAGCACGGAAGAAGCGAAAGUGACGGUACGUGCAGAAGAAGCGCCGGCUAACUACGUGCCAGCAGCCGCGGUAAUACGUAGGGCGCAAGCGUUGUCCGGAAUUAUUGGGCGUAAAGAGCUCGUAGGCGGUUUGUCGCGUCUGCUGUGAAAGCCCGGGGCUUAACCCCGUGGUGUGCAGUGGGUACGGGCAGACUAGAGUGCAGUAGGGGAGACUGGAAUUCCUGGUGUAGCGGUGAAAUGCGCAGAUAUCAGGAGGAACACCGAUGGCGAAGGCAGGUCUCUGGGCUGUUACUGACGCUGAGGAGCGAAAGCAUGGGGAGCGAACAGGAUUAGAUACCCUGGUAGUCCAUGCCGUAAACGUUGGGCACUAGGUGUGGGGGACAUUCCACGUUUU
rnacentral:rRNA from 1 species